CCCUGGCGAAAAUCACACGCAGUUAGUGGCGUCGCCAAGGGAACAUUGCCCAUCAUGCCUCUUUAGGCCUCUUGAUGCUCCACUCGGUGUGAGAAUAUGAGGAUCAAUCAAGAGAAGACGCUAACAUCGAGAUAGAGCUCUAAAUCGAGCAGAAAGCAGGAAGGCCUGUGUUGGGCCUCCAUUUGCGUAAACCUACAGACGCCAUCAACUCCUCCAACAUCCAAGGCCUUUUCUAACCACAAGGGGGCGCCCGCGUCGUGCGUUAAUAUAUUGAAGGAUGUAAUGGGACAUCCCAUUGACAUGUAGCAGACGUGUACUGCUGCCGUUGUCGCUUCCCUGCUGCGAUGACCUAUGAAGCCUUUCUCCCCUAAGUUGCUUUUGUCUGGUACAAAGAGGAACUCUGUAACCAUUCCCAGAUCUGCUUCCUUGGCAUGAGUCAGCCUCCCAGAGACAGCCCGGGCCAGCCUGGUGACUGCAUAGGGCAGAGGGAUGCUCAGGAUUUGUGCCCUCACCACAAGCCGGGAGGGAGAAUCCUGAAAAGGCAUUGUGCGCAUUUCCCAAGGAGAAGACCAGCUCCGCAAACAAGAAGCAGAAGCUGGGCUUGCUGCACCCCUGCUGUGUCACCGGCAAGGAGUACUUCAGAGUCCAUGGCUCAGCUCUCCAUGGACCUCGGCAGUCUGGAAACUUCCAACCCUCCCCCAUGAAGAGGUCUAAGAAAAGAGGAAUUGACCAUUUCUUAAUUGUUAUUGAGAGUCACUGCAGCUUUCAAGGACAUCUCCAACUUUGGGGUCAGAGGUAUAGGCUGUUGCUAUUUAGAAUCAGAAGCUGUGCCAUACUGCAACCGUUUCCGUGACUCCUGGAGGCUACUUUGUAUCCAUCGAGUUCAUCAAAACCUCUUCUGCUGCUGCCCUGUAAGGCAAAGGUGUUAAGGCUCAGAGUGGUUGAUGACUUACCUCAACCCGGACAGUGACAAUCAGAGGCUGAACUGUCCCCUCUUCACACAUGACACCACACUGACUCUCAGGAGGAUCUGUGAAUUGUAUCCUCUUCUUUGUAUCUCAUGUAUGAGGAAAUGGGCUCAGAGGAAUGCAUGGAGCUGCACAGCCAGGAAGCAGGAGGGAACAGCUCCAAAAGCAAGACCUACUCCAUCCAACACUGGUGUUUUCCUACCAAGACUUGAACAAACUACCUCGAGUUAUUUCAAAAGAGAUGGAGCCUUUUGGAGCUCAGCCUGCAAACACAAAUGCUUUUUGCCUUCUGUCUGUUGCCAUGGUCUCUGUAUGCUUCGAGAAUUAAUUACCACUAUUAAUUUCCAGUA